CUGGCGGAAUGCUUUACACAUGCAAGUCGAGCGGCAGCGCGGGGCAACCUGGCGGCGAGCGGCGAACGGGUGAGUAACAUAUCGGAACGUAUCCAUAAGUGGGGGACAACCUAGCGAAAGUUAGGCUAAUACCGCAUACGCUCGAGAGAGGAAAGUGGGGGAUCGCAAGACCUCACGCUUUAGGAGCGGCCGAUAUCAGAUUAGCUAGAUGGCGAGGUAAAGGCUUACCAUGGCGACGAUCUGUAGCUGGUCUGAGAGGAUGAUCAGCCACACUGGGACUGAGAUACGGCCCAGACUCCUACGGGAGGCAGCAGUGGGGAAUUUUGGACAAUGGGGGCAACCCUGAUCCAGCCAUUCCGCGUGAGUGAAGAAGGCCUUCGGGUUGUAAAGCUCUUUUGUUCGGGACGAAACGGUUUCACCUAAUACGUGAGACUAUUGACGGUACCGGAAGAAUAAGCACCGGCUAACUACGUGCCAGCAGCCGCGGUAAUACGUAGGGUGCGAGCGUUAAUCGGAAUUACUGGGCGUAAAGCGUGCGCAGGCGGUUUUAUAAGCCAGAUGUGAAAGUCCCGGGCUCAACCUGGGAAUGGCAUUUGGGACUGUAAGGCUGGAGUAUGGCAGAGGAGACUAGAAUUCCUGGUGUAGCAGUGAAAUGCGUAGAUAUCAGGAGGAAUACCGAUGGCGAAGGCAGGUCUCUGGGCCAAUACUGACGCUCAUGCACGAAAGCGUGGGGAGCAAACAGGAUUAGAUAUCCUGUAGUCCACGCCCUAAACGAUGUCAACUGGUCGUUGGGGGAUUUAUUCUCUUAGUAACGAAGCUAACGCGUGAAGUUGACCGCCUGGGGAGUACGGUCGCAAGAUUAAAACUCAAAGGAAUUGACGGGGGCCCGCACAAGCGGUGGAUGAUGUGGAUUAAUUCGAUGCAACGCGAAAAACCUUACCUACGCUUGACAUGUCCGAGAUCCCCGAGAGAUUGGGGAGUGCUCGAAAGAGAAUCGGAACACAGGUGCUGCAUGGCUGUCGUCAGCUCGUGUUGCGAGAUGUUGGGUUAAGUCCCGCAACGAGCGCAACCCUUGUCAUUAGUUGCUACAUUUAGUUGGGCACUCUAAUGAGACUGCCGGUGACAAACCGGAGGAAGGUGGGGAUGACGUCAAGUCCUCAUGGCCCUUAUGCGUAGGGCUUCACACGUCAUACAAUGGUCGGUACAGAGGGUCGCUAACCCGCGAGGGGGAGCCAAUCUCAGAAAGCCGAUCGUAGUCCGGAUCGUAGUCUGUAACUCGACUACGUGAAGUCGGAAUCGCUAGUAAUCGCGGACCAGUAUGUCGCGGUGAAUACGUUCCCGGGCCUUGUACACACCGCCCGUCACACCAUGGGAGCGGGUUUUACCAGAAGUAGCUAGGCUAACCGCAAGGGGGCCGGUUACCGCGGUAGGAUUCGUGACUGGGGUGAAGUCGUAACAAGGUA
rnacentral:rRNA from 1 species